rnacentral:rRNA from 1 species
GUGUCAGCCGCCGCGGUAAUACGAAGGGGACUAGCGUUGUUCGGAAUUACUGGGCGUAAAGCGCACGUAGGCGGAUUUGUUAGUCAGGGGUGAAAUCCCGGGGCUCAACCUCGGAACUGCCUUUGAUACUGCAAGUCUCGAGUCCGAUAGAGGUGGGUGGAAUUCCUAGUGUAGAGGUGAAAUUCGUAGAUAUUAGGAAGAACACCGGUGGCGAAGGCGGCCCACUGGAUCGGUACUGACGCUGAGGUGCGAAAGCGUGGGGAGCAAACAGGAUUAGAUACCCCUGUAGUCC